CAGUGAGAGGGAUGAUGUACUAUAGGCACGCCCUACAACUUCAGUGCUUAUUG
rnacentral:sRNA from 1 species